rnacentral:rRNA from 1 species
AUUGAACGCUGGCGGCAUGCCUUACACAUGCAAGUCGAACGGUAACAGGUCUUCGGAUGCUGACGAGUGGCGAACGGGUGAGUAAUACAUCGGAACGUGCCCAGACGUGGGGGAUAACGAGGCGAAAGCUUUGCUAAUACCGCACACGAUCUAAGGAUGAGAGCCGGGGACCGCAAGGCCAUGUGCGGUUGGAGCGGCCGAUGGCAGAUUAGGUAGUUGGUGGGAUAAAAGCUUACCAAGCCGACGAUCUGUAGCUGGUCUGAGAGGAAGAGGGGCCACACUGGAACUGAGACAUGGCCCAGACUCCUGCGGGAGGCAGCAGUGGGGAAUGUUGGACAAUGGGCGAAAGCCUGAUCCAGCAAUGCCGCGUGCAGGAUGAAGGCCUUCGGGUUGUAAACUGCUUUUGUACGGAACGAAAAGGCUCUGGCUAAUACCUGGGGCACAUGACGGUACCGGAAGAAUAAGCACCGGCUAACUACGUG